rnacentral:rRNA from 1 species
AGGGUUCGAUUAUGGCUCAGAACGAACGCUGGCGGCAGGCCUUACACAUGCAAGUCGAGCGGUCCUUUAUGGAUAGCGGCGGACGGGUUAGUAACGCGUGGGAACGUGCCCUUUAGUACGGAAUAGCCAUUGGAAACGAUGAUUAAUACCGUAUAUUCCCUACUGGGAAAAGAUUUAUCGCUAAAGGAUCGGCCCGCGUUAGAUUAGGUUGUUGGUGGGGUAAUGGCCUACCAAGCCUACGAUCUAUAGCUGGUUUGAGAGGAUGAUCAGCAACACUGGGACUGAGACACGGCCCAGACUCCUACGGGAGGCAGCAGUGGGGAAUCUUGGACAAUGGGCGAAAGCCUGAUCCAGCCAUGCCGCGUGAGCGGUGAAGGCCCUAGGGUUGUAAAGCUCUUUCGCCAGGGAAGAUAAUGACGGUACCUGGUAAAGAAACCCCGGCUAACUCCGUGCCAGCAGCCGCGGUAAUUC